GAUUUAUGCUCUCAGCCAAUUGCAAAGCUGCUCUCUUCUCUGUCCCACCUACCACUUCCUCUCAUCUUUCUCUCUUUCAUCAUCACUGUGCUUCGUGCACGUUUCCUGUUCCUGUGCUCCUGGACCAGCGUGCUCGGCUGAAAAUGGAAUUGAUGAGCUGGGAGGAAACAGUUGCUUUGGAGAAAUGGCACGGUUCCAGAUAUGGGGCUCAGUGAGCUGGUAUGAGAUUGGCUUUUUACAGAGGAAUGGAGAAUCCCUGCCCAGGGGAUUGUGGAGAGGCUGAGGAUGAAGACUGACUCCCCAGCGCCAUGAAAUGAUCGGGGCUGAAGUGGAAAAAUUAAGUACUGUAACUGAAUCUUGAAAAUGGUCUGUAAUGAAACAUCCUGGACCUGAGCGCCAAGGACAGUAGGGGGCAAGAACUCUGAAGACAAGAAUUGCUGGUUUCGCUUCUCCCUCCUCACCCUGGAUCCCUUCUAGGAAUCACAGAUGGAUGAUUUGAGAUGAGCCUUAAAGGAAAGGAAAAUGUAUCUUUCUCUCCACCAGCAUCAACUGUAAGAGAGAAUUUGGGGCCUGAAGAUUAAAAGAUUUGCCCCAUCUCCAAUCUGCAUUACAAAGACUCUUUGAAGUUAUGUCCAGGAAAGGCUAUACUAAAAACAGGAUAAAUAAUAAAACUAGAUUGAAUGGAUGUGUAAAAGUUGGGUGUUUUUUGUACAAAAGGGCAGUGGUAGAACUGGGGGAAAUGGAGCUUUAUCAACUCUAAUCCACUGGUCUGAAUUUAGCCCAGGUCAAUAGUGGCUGUAGUUGGGAUUUUCAUAGGAAAUUUAAGGGAGUUAGAUGCCAUGCUGCUUUAGUUCCUUUGAAAAUCCCAUCUUUAAUGCAUUGCAAUUUUCAGUUGCCCUUUCUGUGAAAUAAGUUAGGGCUUGAUCUCAUAUCUGAGAUAAAAAUACCUGGACAAGUAUUGUAAAACUCCUAGUCACUAGUGUCUAUGCACUUGUACAAAAUUGAGGAUCAGGAUGGUAACAAACAUUGAUCUAUUUACUGCUGUGUCCAAAACUACUUUCCAUUCUUCCAUGAAUUGACUCCACUAUGUCCACUAUCUGUUUUCUACUACCAACACCAUUUAGGUUAGGCUGAGAUUUUCAGAUGCACUCAGGAUUUGGACACCCGGUUCCCAAUUAAAAAAUAAUGGGAAUUUACUAGGCAAAUCCCGUAAAUUUGAAAAUCUUAACCUAAAUACAUUUAAACCAUGUCUCCCCCACCCUACAGGUGCACACUCGCACCUCUGACACCAGCUCAGACCUUUAUUUCGUGCUUCGAAUGUUGGCAUCCUCUAUCAUCCUGUUUUCUCUUCACCCCACAUAAACAGACGUAGAUCCUUUCCCAUUGACCUGGGGGCCACCACUGCAGUUCUGCUACAUCUAGCAGCUGUUGUGCUGAACAGCUGGGAGACAGUGAGAGAGAUGGAGCUGAGAGGCAAUGCUAUGUGAACCAAAUUCAGCAACAUGUAGUUUUGAGUUUAGGUAACCAGGGGAGUUCUGUUGAAGUCAGGACAAAUUUUCAGUGUCAGAAGCAGAGAUGCCAAGCUGGACCCUCAAAACCAGGGCCACCUCAGGCUACGUCUUCACUACCGGCCGUAUUGGCGGGUAGCAAUCGA